GGACUACUAGGGUAUCUAAUCCUGUUCGCUCCCCCAGCUUUCGUGCCUCAGCGUCAGGUGUCGUCCAGGGCGCUGCCUACGCCGUCGGUGUUCCUCCGGAUCUCUACGCAUUUCACCGCUCCACCCGGAAUUCCACGCCCCUCUCCGACCCUCAAGCGAUCCCGUCUGGCGACCAUCCUCCCAGGUAAGCCAGGAGAUUUCAUCUCGCCACGCGAACCGCCGCCUGCGCACCCUUUACGCCCAGUAACUCCGGACAACGCUCGCCUCCUACGUAUUACCGCGGCUGCUGGCAC
rnacentral:rRNA from 1 species